UCCCAGUAGCCAAAGCACCUUUGCAUCCAA
rnacentral:piRNA from 1 species